rnacentral:rRNA from 1 species
UGGCCCUACGGGAGGCAGCAGUGAGGAAUAUUGGUCAAUGGGCGCAAGCCUGAACCAGCCAAGUCGCGUGAGGGAUGACGGUCCUAUGGAUUGUAAACCUCUUUUGUCGGGGAGCAAGGCCCGCCACGUGUGGCGGGAAGGAGAGUACCCGAAGAAAAAGCAUCGGCUAACUCCGUGCCAGCAGCCGCGGUAAUACGGAGGAUGCGAGCGUUAUCCGGAAUGAUUGGGCGUAAA